rnacentral:lncRNA from 1 species
GGAGAGGGGCACAGCGGCGGCGCAGGCGCGGAGAGGCGCACAGCGCGGCACAGCGAGGCGCCGGCCCAGACUCCACUCCCCAGCUGUGAAAGGAGGAGCUCUACGGUGACUUUGAAGACUUGGAAACAGGGGACGUGCACAAGGGAAAAUCGGGCCCCGAUACUCAGAAUGAAGAUGUAGAGAAACAAGGAAGAAAUUGACCCUGACGAAGAAGAAAGUGCCAAGAAAAAGCAUUUGGAUAAGAAGAGAAAAUUGAAGGAGAUGUUUGAUGUGGAAUAUGAUGAAGGAGAAAGCACAUAUUUUGAUGAUCUUAAAGGAGAAAUGCAGAAACAAGCACAGAUAACAGCAUACAGGUUUCCCCCCCCGACCCCGUCAUGUACAGCUGAAUCAUGCAGAAUUUGAAGAUCAAGAUGAUGAAGCCAGAGUUCAGUAUGAGGGUUUUCGACCUGGGAUGUACGUCUGCGUUGAGAUUGAAAAUGUUCCCUGUGAAUUUGUGUAGAACUUUGACCCCCGUUACCCCAUUAUCCUGGGUGGCUUGGGCAACAGCGAGGGAAAUGUUGGAUACGUGCAGAUGCGUCUGAAGAAACAUCGCUGGUAUAAGAAAAUCCUCAAGUCCCGAGAUCCAAUCAUAUUUUCUGUAGGGUGGAGGAGGUUUCAGACCAUCCCGCUCUGUUAUAUCGAAGACCACAAUGGAAGACAAAGGCUUCUAAAGGAAUGUUUAAUUCAGCCUUGGAAGUGGCCAAAUUUGAAGGUGCUGUGAUUCGAACUGUCAGUGGGAUAAGGGGGCAGAUCAAGAAAGCACUCUGAGCUCCAGAAGGAGCUUUCCGGGCCAGCUUUGAGGAUAAGCUGCUGAUGAGCGAUAUUGUCUUCAUGCAAACUUGGUAUCCUGUUUCCAUCCCAGCCUUCUAUAACCCAGUAACAUCUUUGUUGAAACCAGUGGGUGAGAAAGACACCUGGUCAGGAACGCGGACCACGGGCCAACUCAGGCUUGCCCAUGGUGUCAGACUAAAGGCAAACAAGGACUCUCUGUAUAAGGUUCCCUCUCCCAGCCUGUGCUGACUCAGCCAUCUUCCCAUUCUGCAUCUUCUGGAGCAUCAGUCAGACUCACCUGCAUGCUGAGCAGUGGCUUCAGUGUUGGGGACUUCUGGAUAAGGUGGUACCAACAAAAGCCAGGGAACCCUCCCCGGUAUCUCCUGUACUACCACUCAGACUCCAAUAAGGGCCAAGGCUCUGGAGUUCCCAGCCGCUUCUCUGGAUCCAACGAUGCAUCAGCCAAUGCAGGGAUUCUGCGUAUCUCUGGGCUCCAGCCUGAGGAUGAGGCUGACUAUUACUGUGGUACAUGGCACAGCAACUCUAAGACUCA